CUUAAAGAUAUUUCUACGAUAGGUUCUAGAUUUGAUCUAAUCAAGUCCGACUCUAUGGGUUUACUAGAUUGUGUCGGUUAUUCUAUCGAUCGAACUUCAUCAAGUUCAACUUUUGAGGCAUUAGUUCCUUCACCAAGAAUUUUUUUUUCUAAAAAGACUAUCCUAUUGCUGACGAACACCUUCUGUUUGUCAGCAAGAUAGAAGUAAUAUUCCUUGGUCUCUUUUGGGU
rnacentral:lncRNA from 1 species